UCCAUUUUACUAUGAAAAUGAAAAGAACACACAAAGUUACAGUCUUCGCUGGGGUGUUUCCAGUGGUGAAUACAAUGUGUUAUCCUGGAAAAAAGAUGGUGUUACUUUCCUUCCAAAUUCAUCUCUAAUUUGCAUUAAAUAUCAAUGAAUGUAUAAUUGGGAACUCUGAUAUCACUUUUCCACAACUUUUAUUGGUGUAAGAAGAAGCAGAGCCUAAUGGAUGCAGUAUAGACUCCAGAACUGUCUAACACAAUCUGAAUCAUGAUUCCACCAUUUACUGGUGACGUGACCUUGGGAUUCUUAUUUCACUUCUCUAAACAGGGAAGUUAUUUUUCACUUACAAAGUUGAAUACUUACGAAUUCCAGACUCUUCUAUAGAUUCAAAAACUGAAAGACCUAUUAUCUGCAAGAGAAAGCCCAGGGACAAAAAGGACUGGAAAUGUCAUCUCUUCAAACUGACAUUUUUCAAUGAACCACCACACUGUGAAGCCAAGAGUUUUCUGUUGUACACCAAGAUGGAAACACUGUGUUCUACACCCCAGGAUGGAGGAGACAUCAACAGCUGUGUGUAUUUGUUAGAAUGUGUGUGUGUGCGUGUGUGUGUGUGUGCGUGUGUGUGUGGUGUGUGUGUGUGUGUGUGUGUGUGUGUGUGUGUGUGCCUCUAAGAGAUAGAAAAGGGGGGAGGGGAAGAGUGCGUGCUCACAGGAAAAUUCAGUUCACACAGAAAGAACAAUAGUUGGAAAUGGUCGCAUACACAAUAACAUGCAGUCACCAACCAAUGUCCUUAAUGAACACUUUCCCAUGCAUUUUACCAAUGAAGGCUAAGAAUUUUAAGCUAUGUAUAAAAUAAAUGAACACAAUUAUCUAA